CCCUGCACUGGUCAUCACAACAAAAGCACACUAACAAUGCGUCCUGGUGACUUUCAGUUUCUAUUCCUGGAAAUCAGUCCGUUUGGGGGAAGUGUUUAGGGAGGUUUGGUUUCACUUUUCUGUUCCUGGAAAUCGGUGCUCUAAGGCAGUGGGGCUGUUGGGCUGCUGGGCUGCUCCCUCCUGUUGGCCGGACUCUGGGGAGGGCAGCACAGCAGCUGGAGAUAAGUUCCUCUCCUUACACUCCCUUCAGGGUGGAGGCUAGCCCUUUUCUUCUCUGCAGUGGCCACACAAGCACACUAGACUUGGAAUUGCAGGUGAAGACAGACCUGUGCAGCUCUGCGCUCGCUGUACCCGGGGCUGCCGGAAGCUCUUCAGCGGACCCAGCACCUUCUGCUUUUGCAGUGGAGACAGUGGGAGCUCAACUCUGCCACCAGAAAUCUCUUUUCUCUAAGGAGCUGGCUUGCGCUCAGUGGAUAGAUUUCCAGUGGCUGGAAGAUCCUGGGAGCCCCGGAAAUUGCCCAGGCCACAACCCGUGGUUACAGAACCUCACCAAGCAUUCUCUCUGCUCCCAAGCUCUCAUGCCCCAACCACUCCUGGCCACCAAAGACGUUUCACAUGUCCAUACUUUUGCCUUACCCAGAAGGUUGUGCAGUUGGAUUCUUGAAGUCUCUGCAGGAGCUGCCCCCUCGACCCCACCAAUAACAGGUCCAGCGGGACUGGACAGGUGGCGCCCAACGUGGGGCUCGAGGUACGGUGGGCUACCUGACGGAUCCGGCGGUUGGAGCUCCAGUAAAGAAUAGAAGAAGCAUAUCCCCUCGGUGGUGCCGCUCACGCUGACCGAGAAAAGCAGAAGAUCCUGUGAGACAAAGAAGAUGCGCUGCCCACUGGCAACACUCCUGCUCCUUGCUGUCGUGACCUCGCCAUCUACAGGGGGGACGGCUGGGACCUCCAUCCAUACUACUUGGAAUUAUACUUGGGAGGUCAUAGGUUACGCCAAUUCUCCCAUUUGGUCUACUUCUAAAGUGACAAAUACAAUCUGGUGGCCAGAGUUAUACCCAGACUUAUGCCAGUUGGCUUUGGGGGCCCCAGCAAACUGGGACCUAGAAGGACUAGAGGCAAAGCUUUUCGCUCAACCCCCUACGGAAGAAAGCCCAAAGGGACGCUUUGGCCUAGAUCCUUGGGGUGGGUGCGGUCGUGCAGAGAGAAGAGCACAGUUAUCCACUCUAGAAUUUUAUGUUUGCCCCAGCUACACCCACCGCCCCACUGAGAGUAAUCCCAAAUGUGGUGGCUUAGUGGACUUUUACUGCAAAAACUGGGGCUGUGAAACCACUGGAGAGGCAUAUUGGAAUCCCUCUUCCAGUUGGGAUUACAUCAUUGUUAAGUAUAAUUUUACUAAUAAAUACUAUGUUUCUGACCA